rnacentral:snoRNA from 1 species
AUUGCUAGAGGCACUUCAUUACAGGUGUGGCUACUGUGUCAUGUGUGUGUGAGUAGGUGGCAGAGAGGAGAGGCUACUUCUAUGCUCAGUGUUCUGACCUAUGAACAUCUGAAUGACCUGUAGCCUAACAUU